UACAGAGGGUGCGAGCGUUAAUCGGAAUUACUGGGCGUAAAGGGUGCGUAGGUGGCUAUUUAAGUCAGAUGUGAAAUCCCUGGGCUCAACCUAGGAAUUGCAUUUGAGACUGAGUAACUAGAGUACAGUAGAGGGAAGUGGAAUUUCCGGUGUAGCGGUGAAAUGCGUAGAUAUCGGAAGGAACAUCAGUGGCGAAGGCGACUUCCUGGACUGUUACUGACACUGAGGCACGAAAGCGUGGGGAGCGAACAGG
rnacentral:rRNA from 1 species